GACACGGUCCAAACUCCUACGGGAGGCAGCAGUGAGGAAUAUUGGUCAAUGGUCGGCAGACUGAACCAGCCAAGUCGCGUGAGGGAAGACGGCCCUACGGGUUGUAAACCUCUUUUGUCGGAGAGUAAAGUACGCUACGUGUAGCGUAUUGCAAGUAUCCGAAGAAAAAGCAUCGGCUAACUCCGUGCCAGCAGCCGCGGUAAUACGGAGGAUGCGAGCGUUAUCCGGAUUUAUUGGGUUUAAAGGGUGCGUAGGCGGCACGCCAAGUCAGCGGUGAAAUUUCCGGGCUCAACCCGGAGUGUGCCGUUGAAACUGGCGAGCUAGAGUGCACAAGAGGCAGGCGGAAUGCGUGGUGUAGCGGUGAAAUGCAUAGAUAUCACGCAGAACCCCGAUUGCGAAGGCAGCCUGCUAGGGUGAAACAGACGCUGAGGCACGAAAGCGUGGGUAUCGAACAGGAUUAGAUACCCUGGUAGUCCACGCAGUAAACGAUGAAUACUAACUGUUUGCGAUACAAUGUAAGCGGUACAGCGAAAGCGUUAAGUAUUCCACCUGGGGAGUACGCCGGCAACGGUGAAACUCAAAGGAAUUGACGGGGGCCCGCACAAGCGGAGGAACAUGUGGUUUAAUUCGAUGAUACGCGAGGAACCUUACCCGGGCUCAAACGCAGGGGGAAUGUCGGUGAAAGCCGGCAGCUAGUAAUAGUCACCUGCGAGGUGCUGCAUGGUUGUCGUCAGCUCGUGCCGUGAGGUGUCGGCUUAAGUGCCAUAACGAGCGCAACCCCUAUCGACAGUUACUAACGGGUGAAGCCGAGGACUCUGUCGAGACUGCCGGCGCAAGCCGCGAGGAAGGUGGGGAUGACGUCAAAUCAGCACGGCCCUUACGUCCGGGGCGACACACGUGUUACAAUGGCAGGUACAGAAGGCAGCCAGUCAGCAAUGACGCGCGAAUCCCGAAAACCUGUCUCAGUUCGGAUUGGAGUCUGCAACCCGACUCCAUGAAGCUGGAUUCGCUAGUAAUCGCGCAUCAGCCAUGGCGCGGUGAAUACGUUCCCGGGCC
rnacentral:rRNA from 1 species